UACGUAGGGUGCGAGCGUUGUCCGGAAUUAUUGGGCGUAAAGAGCUCGUAGGCGGUCUGUCGCGUCGAAUGUGAAAACCCGGGGCUCAACUCCGGGCUUGCAUUCGAUACGGGCAGGCUAGAGUUCGGUAGGGGAGUCUGGAAUUCCUGGUGUAGCGGUGAAAUGACGCAGAUAUCAGGAGGAACACCGGUGGCGAAGGCGGGACUCUGGGCCGAUACUGACGUGAGGAGCGAAAGCGUGGGGAGCGAACAGG
rnacentral:rRNA from 1 species